rnacentral:rRNA from 1 species
GACGAACGCUGGCGGCGUGCUUAACACAUGCAAGUCGAACGGAAAGGCCCUGCUUUUGUGGGGUGCUCGAGUGGCGAACGGGUGAGUAACACGUGAGUAACCUGCCCUUGACUUUGGGAUAACUUCAGGAAACUGGGGCUAAUACCGGAUAGGAUCUCCUGCUGCAUGGUGGGGGUUGGAAAGUUUCGGCGGUGGGGGCUGGACUCGCGGCUUAUCAGCUUGUUGGUGGGGUAGUGGCUUACCAAGGCUUUGACGGGUAGCCGGCCUGAGAGGGUGACCGGCGACAAUGGGACUGAGAUACGCCCCAGACUCCUACGGGAGGCAGCAGUGGGGAAUAUUGCACAAUGGGCGGAAGCCUGAUGCAGCAACGCCGCGUGCGGGAUGACGGCCUUCGGGUUGUAAACCGCUUUCGCCUGUGACGAAGCGUGAGUGACGGUAAUGAGUAAAGAAGCACCGGCUAACUACGUG